ACGAACCUCGUGUUACAAAGUUUACAAAAGAGAGAGCUGAGUGCUGGCUUGUAAGGUUAGGGAAGGCUCUCUGGAGAGGAAUGGGAGCAGAUCUGGGCUCUGAAGGAUGGUCAUGGUCUUCAUGGGGCAAAGGAAGACACUGGACUAGUUAGGAGGACACCAAAGAGAUGACAGCUGUGGAUUUUGAAAGCCACACAGGUCUUGAUUCGUUUUCUCUUCUGCAAUUUACUUGGGUACAGUCCACGCAUCAGAGUACAAAUCAGUGAUACAGCCCCUAACCACAAGUAUAUUAAGUAGUACAGAUACAAUUCCUGGAACAAUGGCAGCUAUUUUGCAACCAUGAGGACACAGUAAAGAGAUGAAACAUUGGGAUUUGAUGACAUUAUGGAGAUAAUGUGCAAGCCCUGGGCUGCCUAUCUUCAACCUUUUUCCUAUGUCUUAAAAAUAAACCUCUCUUUGGUUUAGCUAUUGCAA